rnacentral:siRNA from 1 species
UCAUCUCAUUAAUUUUCCAUGG